AAAAGGUUUGGUCCUAGCCUUAUUAUUAACUCUUUCUCAACUUACACAUGCAAGUCUCAGCACUCCCGUGAGAACGCCCUUAAACCUCUACCAGGUUAAGGAGCCGGCAUCAGGCACAACCGUUUGCCCAUAACACCUAGUCUCACCACGCCCCCAAGGGUAAUCAGCAGUGAUAAAUUUUGUCUAUAAGCGAUAGCUUGACUCAGUCAGUGAACAGAGAGCCGGCCAACCCGGUGCCAGCCGCCGCGGCUAUACCAUAGGGCUCAAGUUAAUAACUAUCGGCGUUAAGCGUGAUUAAAGUCUCAAUAAAUUAGAGUCGAAUUAACACUUAGUAGUGAUAAGCUUGCUGUUAAGAAGAACAUAAACGAAAGUUACCCUAUAAUACACUUGAAUACACGACAGCUGGG
rnacentral:rRNA from 1 species